UCUCGAGGUGCAGCGAUUGAAUCUGCAGCAGAUUUCAAGAAGGUACGUCUAGGGGACUUGCAGAAAUUAGUGAAGAGCCACUCACGCCACCGCUUGGAAAAUAUCGGAGCAAUGCAUGCAAGCCGGAUUCUACCAAAUAGAAUUGAACGGAGCAAGCAGGAAUUGAAACCUGCACAACUUCCCACGGAUCUACAGGAUGCGAUCCAAACUCGGAAUUCGGAGAAUGUAGACAGCCGCGGAAAGUGCCUAGGAAGUGGAAAUAUAUUUACGCCUUGAGUGUCUUAGCUUGCGGUAGCCGUCUUCAUGAAAGUGUUUGUUUUUAAUGGAAAGUUGAAAUAAAUAUUUUCUAAUCGAUUCACA